rnacentral:rRNA from 1 species
UACGAGAGGUCCAAGCGUUAGUCGGAAUCACUGGGCUUAAAGGGUGCGUAGGCGGGUCCGUAAGUGCCUUGUGAAAUCCCAUGGCUCAACCAUGGAAUUGCAGGGCAUACUGCGGGCCUUGAGGAAUCUAGAGGCCGGUAGAACGAUAGGUGGAGCGGUGGAAUGCGUAGAUAUCUAUCGGAAUGCCAAAGGUGAAGACAGCCGGCUGGGGAUUUCCUGACGCUGAGGCACGAAAGCGUGGGGAUCAAACAGG